rnacentral:rRNA from 1 species
UAGAGAGGGUGCGAGCGUUAAUCGGAAUUACUGGGCGUAAAGGGCGCGUAGGCGGAUGAAUAAGUUGGGUGUGAAAGUCCUGGGCUUAACCUGGGGAUUGCAUUCAAUACUGUUUGUCUGGAGUGAAGUAGAGGGUGGCGGAAUUUCCGGUGUAGCGGUGAAAUGCGUAGAUAUCGGAAGGAACAUCAGUGGCGAAGGCGGCUAACUGGACGGGGACUGACGCUGAGACGCGAAAGCGUGGGGAGCAAACAGG